rnacentral:rRNA from 1 species
UACGUAGGGGGCAAGCGUUGUCCGGAUUUAUUGGGCGUAAAGAGCGUGUAGGCGGCUAGAUAGGUCCGUUGUGAAAACUCGAGGCUCAACCUCGGGCUUGCAGUGGGUACGGGCAGACUAGAGUGCGGUAGGGGUGACUGGAAUUCCUGGUGUAGCGGUGAAAUGCGCAGAUAUCAGGAGGAACACCGGUGGCGAAGGCGGGUCUCUGGGCCGAUACUGACGCUGAGGAGCGAAAGCGUGGGGAGCGAACAGG